GACAGAGGGGGCAAGCGUUGCUCGGAAUCACUGGGCGUAAAGGGCGCGUAGGCGGGAUGGCAAGUCGGUCGUGAAAUCCUUCGGCUCAACCGAAGAACGUCGGCCGAUACUGCCGUUCUUGAGGGAUGCAGAGGAGAUUGGAAUUCCCGGUGUAGCGGUGAAAUGUGUAGAGAUCGGGAGGAACACCGGUGGCGAAGGCGGGUCUCUGGGGCAUCUCCUGACGCUGAGGCGCGAAAGCGUGGGGAGCAAACGGG
rnacentral:rRNA from 1 species